CCUCCUUGUCUCCGUCGUGCGGCCUCUUGGUCCCUGGUCGGGCGGCUGCCCCAGCCAAGUCGCGUGAGGGAAGACGGCCCUACGGGUUGUAAACCUCUUUUGUCAGGGAGCAAGGUGUAGGUCGGGACCUGCUGUGAGAGUACCUGAAGAAAAAGCAUCGGCUAACUCCGUGCCAGCAGCCGCGGUAAUACGGAGGAUGCGAGCGUUAUCCGGAUUUAUUGGGUUUAAAGGGUGCGCAGGCGGAGGCACAAGUCAGCGGUAAAAUCGCGGGGCUCAACCCCGCUCCGCCGUUGAAACUGUGUCCCUUGAGUGCGCGAAGGGUAGGCGGAAUGCGUGGUGUAGCGGUGAAAUGCAUAGAUAUCACGCAGAACUCCGAUCGCGAAGGCAGCCUACCGGCGCGCAACUGACGCUCAUGCACGAAAGCGUGGGUAUCGAACAGGAUUAGAUACCCCAGUAGUC
rnacentral:rRNA from 1 species